UCUCUCUCGCGGAUGAAAACGACGGCGAGGUGGCAGAUGAAAAUGCCGGCGAGGUUGCUGUUAUUAUCUUCUUCAAGUCUGGCAAGCUCUUUGAGUUCUCCAGUACUAGGAACAGUUGUUGACAAUCGAACUUGAAGAAUCACACCUCAAGGGACAGCGGGCAGAGUUGUAAGUUUGUAGACAGUAAGUUUUGCUUUUAAAAUUGGUCGAAGUUGAAGUCAGUGUAGCGACAUAGUAGCUUAAGUAGGUGAAUCAGUUUGAUUU